rnacentral:miRNA from 2 species
GCUCUGACUUCAUUGCACUACU